AGAGUUUGAUCAUGGCUCAGAUUGAACGCUGGCGGCAGGCCUAACACAUGCAAGUCGAGCGGUAGCACAGAGAGCUUGCUCUCGGGUGACGAGCGGCGGACGGGUGAGUAAUGUCUGGGAAACUGCCUGAUGGAGGGGGAUAACUACUGGAAACGGUAGCUAAUACCGCAUAACGUCGCAAGACCAAAGUGGGGGACCUUCGGGCCUCAUGCCAUCAGAUGUGCCCAGAUGGGAUUAGCUAGUAGGUGGGGUAAUGGCUCACCUAGGCGACGAUCCCUAGCUGGUCUGAGAGGAUGACCAGCCACACUGGAACUGAGACACGGUCCAGACUCCUACGGGAGGCAGCAGUGGGGAAUAUUGCACAAUGGGCGCAAGCCUGAUGCAGCCAUGCCGCGUGUGUGAAGAAGGCCUUCGGGUUGUAAAGCACUUUCAGCGGGGAGGAAGGCGAUAAGGUUAAUAACCUUGUCGAUUGACGUUACCCGCAGAAGAAGCACCGGCUAACUCCGUGCCAGCAGCCGCGGUAAUACGGAGGGUGCAAGCGUUAAUCGGAAUUACUGGGCGUAAAGCGCACGCAGGCGGUCUGUCAAGUCGGAUGUGAAAUCCCCGGGCUCAACCUGGGAACUGCAUUCGAAACUGGCAGGCUAGAGUCUUGUAGAGGGGGGUAGAAUUCCAGGUGUAGCGGUGAAAUGCGUAGAGAUCUGGAGGAAUACCGGUGGCGAAGGCGGCCCCCUGGACAAAGACUGACGCUCAGGUGCGAAAGCGUGGGGAGCAAACAGGAUUAGAUACCCUGGUAGUCCACGCCGUAAACGAUGUCGAUUUGGAGGUUGUGCCCUUGAGGCGUGGCUUCCGGAGCUAACGCGUUAAAUCGACCGCCUGGGGAGUACGGCCGCAAGGUUAAAACUCAAAUGAAUUGACGGGGGCCCGCACAAGCGGUGGAGCAUGUGGUUUAAUUCGAUGCAACGCGAAGAACCUUACCUGGUCUUGACAUCCACAGAACUUUCCAGAGAUGGAUUGGUGCCUUCGGGAACUGUGAGACAGGUGCUGCAUGGCUGUCGUCAGCUCGUGUUGUGAAAUGUUGGGUUAAGUCCCGCAACGAGCGCAACCCUUAUCCUUUGUUGCCAGCGGUUAGGCCGGGAACUCAAAGGAGACUGCCAGUGAUAAACUGGAGGAAGGUGGGGAUGACGUCAAGUCAUCAUGGCCCUUACGACCAGGGCUACACACGUGCUACAAUGGCAUAUACAAAGAGAAGCGACCUCGCGAGAGCAAGCGGACCUCAUAAAGUAUGUCGUAGUCCGGAUUGGAGUCUGCAACUCGACUCCAUGAAGUCGGAAUCGCUAGUAAUCGUAGAUCAGAAUGCUACGGUGAAUACGUUCCCGGGCCUUGUACACACCGCCCGUCACACCAUGGGAGUGGGUUGCAAAAGAAGUAGGUAGCUUAACCUUCGGGAGGGCGCUUACCACUUUGUGAUUCAUGACUGGGGUGAAGUCGUAACAAGGUAACCGUAGGGGAACCUGCGGUUGGAUCACCU
rnacentral:rRNA from 5 species